UAAUUUAAAAUUAUUCCUUUCAAGAAUAUAAAGCCUCAAAGCUUAAAUCAU
rnacentral:tRNA from 1 species